GGGCCCGCACAAGCGGUGGAGCAUGUGGUUUAAUUCGAUGCAACGCGAAGAACCUUACCAGGGUUUGACAUGUUACUAUCUUGAUAGGAGAUAGCGAAAGCUAUUUUGAUACACAGGUGGUGCAUGGCUGUCGUCAGUUCGUGUCGUGAGAUGUUGGGUCAAGUCCCGCAACGAGCGUAACCCUUACUUUUUGUUGUGUUAUCAGAUCAAAAAGAACUGCCAGUGAUAAAUUGGAGGAAGGUGAGGAUGACGUCAAGUCAGCAUGCCCCUUACACCCUGGGCAACACACGUGCUACAAUGGUUAGUUCAGAGCGUUACUAUUCUGCAAAGAUGUGUAAAUCGCUAAACCUAAUCCUAGUUCGGAUUCGUCUCUGCAACUCGAGACGAUGAAGCCGGAAUCGCUAGUAAUCGC
rnacentral:rRNA from 1 species